UGGGGAAUAUUGGGCAAUGGGCGCAAGCCUGACCCAGCGACGCCGCGUGAGGGAAGAAGGCCCUCGGGUCGUAAACCUCUGUCAGGAGGGAAGAAGUGGUUAAUUCUUAACAGGAAUUUUCCUUGACGGUACCUCCAGAGGAAGCACCGGCUAACUCCGUGCCAGCAGCCGCGGUAAUACGGAGGGUGCAAGCGUUAUUCGGAAUUACUGGGCGUAAAGCGCGCGUAGGCGGCCUGGAAAGUCAGAUGUGAAAGCCCUCGGCUAAACCGAGGAAUUGCAUUUGAAACUUUCAGGCUAGAGUGCGGGAGAGGGUAGCGGAAUUCCCGGUGUAGGAGUGAUAUCCGUAGAUAUCGGGAGGAACACCAGUGGCGAAGGCGGCUACCUGGACCGCAACUGACGCUGAGGUGCGAAAGCGUGGGUAGCAAACA
rnacentral:rRNA from 1 species